rnacentral:rRNA from 1 species
AUCAACGCUGGCGGCGGGCUUAACACAUGCAAGUCGAACGCGAAAGGGGAGCAAUCCCUGAUUAGAGUGGCAAACGGGUGAGUAACACGUGGGCGACCUGCCUUCGAGUGGGGGAUAACCUUCCGAAAGGAGGGCUAAUACCGCAUGACAUACCGUGUUUGGAUACACGGAUAUCAAAGCCGGGGAUCGCAAGACCUGGCGCUUGAAGAGGGGCCCGCGUCCGAUUAGCUAGUUGGUGUGGUAACGGCUCACCAAGGCUCCGAUCGGUAUCCGGCCUGAGAGGGCGGACGGACACACUGGAACUGAGACACGGUCCAGACUCCUACGGGAGGCAGCAGUGGGGAAUUGUUCGCAAUGGGCGAAAGCCUGACGACGCAACGCCGCGUGGAGGAUGAAGAAUUUCGGUUCGUAAACUCCUUUCGACCGAGAUGAAAACCUAGAGACCUAAUAC